AGAUAAACAUCAUCUAUCGUUCAUCCAACAAAGACAUUUUUAUUUCUUAGGCGUAUGUAAAUUUAAGAAUGGUUAUUUACUAUUUGACGUUAAUGAAAUGGAAAUGAGGGUAGUAGUGAUGUUUUCUUUAUUAUUGUGCAUCGUCAACGGUUAUGUGUUUGGUUCCAGUACACAAAAUUCUUUGAAUAUUGACACGAAAGAGACGGAAAUCACUGAUAUCCGAUUGGACGUUAACGUUAUGAAAGAAAACUACCACAAUCUUCUUAAAAGAGUCAUAGAUAACGAAAAAACAGUUGAAUUAUUGAAAAAAGAUAAGCAGUAUUUGACACAUGAAGUUGAAAACUUAAAAAGACAAUUAUCAUGCGAAAUAGAAGUGUUACAUGCUAUUACUGGAGAACAUAAACAAGAGCUGAAUGGAACAAAUGUUGAGUUAAAUCGUACUUUGUAUUCAAUCAACAAAACGGUACAUGAACUGAGCUAUAAUGGUGAUGUGUUAGAAAAUAAGAUACGGUUUCUAGAAUGGCAAAGGACUGAGGAAUGUAUUAAUAAAACAGGAGUCGUCAGUGUCUGUACAUUUGAAUCAACAGUGGACGCAAACUGUCUGUUUUAUAAUGACAAAUCUGGGAUGGACACAUAUGACUGGAUUAGAACUGUGGAUGGUACACCUUCCCUAAAGACUGGACCAAACGGAGCGUUAGCUGGUUAUUACUACAUGUAUAUUGAAACCUCGGAUAUGGAUAACUUUGGCAAUGCUCUUCUUAUCUCAAGCAUCCUCCAUCCAGGUAAUAA